GAUGAACGCUGGCGGCGUGCCUAAUACAUGCAAGUCGAGCGAAUCGGGGACGGGUUAGUAACACGUGGCUAACCUCCUAUACGACUGGCAUAACUUCGUGAACCCGUAGCUAAACCGGAUACUUCUAUUUUGAUCCUCUCUGCAUUAGCUCGUUGGUAAGGUACCGGCUUACCAAGGCAACGAUGCCUAGCCGACCUGAGAGGGUGAUCGGCCACACUGGACAUGAGACACGGUCCAGAUUCCUACGGGAGGCAGCAGUAGGGAAUCUGCCGCAAUGGGCGAAAGCCUGACGGAGCAACGCCGCGUGAGUGAUGAAGGUCUUCGGAUCGUAAAACUCUGGUAUUAGGGAAGCGGUACCUAAUAAGAAAGCCACGGCUAACUACGUGCCAGCAGCCGCGGUAAUUC
rnacentral:rRNA from 1 species